CAUAAAAAGCACAUCCAGCCACAGAACUGAUGGUGAUAUCCCACAGUGGCACGUGGAAACAGUGAGUUGUGAAAUGACUAAUCAAUAGUAAGAUGUGCUGUUACCUACAGUGGAAUUGUGCUGGACCAGAGUAACUCACUGCUGUGGUCCCAGGGGCAGUGAAGGUCACUGGGCACUGGGAGGUGGAUGAGUGGAGUCCAGCCAGAAGCGUGGAGGUCAAGGAAGAGCAUCCCGAUGGCUUUGCAGCAGGAGCAAUGACCCUUGCUCUGUUUCUGCAGGCACGAGGCACAGCGUUAGUUUGGGACAAUGAUCUCAGCUGAGACCAAAGGAGGUGACACACUUUGGCUGCGGCUUUCAGGAAACGGGCAUGGGUUUUUUUGAGCCAGAAGAUGACAACCUUCUUCAGGUAGGAAAUCUCAGCUUCUGAUACAGUUCCUCCUCGUGUAACGCUACAGGAACGUUCUCAGGUACAGAGAGGGAGAAACAUUAACAUGGCAGCU